AAUGUUAUAAGUGGUGCCAUUUCUAUAAUUUGAAAUCAAAUGCUAAAAAUCUCAACUCCAAUGGGGUUCUAUACUUGGAUGCAAAUAUGCAUAUAUGCAUCCUUGGUUCUAAAUUUGAAACCAAGGAUGCAUUUAUGCAUCCAUGCCACAUCAUCAACUAACUAUAAUUGGUAUAUAUAGUGGUGAACUUUAAACAAAGUUUAGGAGAGAGGGACUAAAGUUACUUAAUUUUGGAAUUAUUUGGAUGCAAAAUGCAUCUAGCAUUGGAGUUGAAGUUCUAUUUUAGCAACAAAAAAC
rnacentral:lncRNA from 1 species